rnacentral:rRNA from 1 species
GAUUGACCGCUGGCGGCAGGCCUAACACAUGCAAGUCGAACGGUAACAGGAAGAAGCUUGCUUCUUUGCUGACGAGUGGCGGACGGGUGAGUAAUGUCUGGGAAACUGCCUGAUGGAGGGGGAUAACUACUGGAAACGGUAGCUAAUACCGCAUAACGUCGCAAGACCAAAGAGGGGGACCUUCGGGCCUCUUGCCAUCGGAUGUGCCCAGAUGGGAUUAGCUAGUAGGUGGGGUAACGGCUCACCUAGGCGACGAUCCCUAGCUGGUCUGAGAGGAUGACCAGCCACACUGGAACUGAGACACGGUCCAGACUCCUACGGGAGGCAGCAGUGGGGAAUAUUGCACAAUGGGCGCAAGCCUGAUGCAGCCAUGCCGCGUGUAUGAAGAAGGCCUUCGGGUUGUAAAGUACUUUCAGCGGGGAGGAAGGGAGUAAAGUUAAUACCUUUGCUCAUUGACGUUACCCGCAGAAGAAGCACCGGCUAACUCCGUG